UAUAAAAUGAUGAAUGGUGAGGAGAAAAUGAAUAAGGAAAAAGUGAUUUACUUGUUCCCAUAAUAUAAGAACUAGGGACCACCAAAUGAAAUUAAUGAGCAGGAGGUUUAUAACAAAUAAA